AGGGUAUUGCCCUAGUAACGGCGAGUGAAGCGGCAUCAGCUCAAAUUUGAAAUCUGGCUCUUUCAGAGUCCGAGUUGUAAUUUGCAGAGGGCGCUUUGGCGUUGGCAGCGGUCCAAGUUCCUUGGAACAGGACGUCACAGAGGGUGAGAAUCCCGUACGUGGUCGCUGGCCUUCACCGUGUAAAGCCCCUUCGACGAGUCGAGUUGUUUGGGAAUGCAGCUCUAAAUGGGAGGUAAAUUUCUUCUAAAGCUAAAUACUGGCCAGAGACCGAUAGCGCACAAGUAGAGUGAUCGAAAGAUGAAAAGCACUUUGGAAAGAGAGUCAAAUAGCACGUGAAAUUGUUGAAAGGGAAGCGCUUGCAGCCAGACUUGCCUGUAGUUGCUCAUCCGGGCUUUUGCCCGGUGCAUUCUUCUGUAGGCAGGCCAGCAUCAGUUUGGGCGGUUGGAUAAAGGCCUCUGUCAUGUACCUCCUUUCGGGGAGGCCUUAUAGGGGAGGCGACAUGCAACCAGCCUGGACUGAGGUCCGCGCAUCUGCUAGGAUGCUGGCGUAAUGGCUGUAAGCGGCCCGUCUUGAAACACGGACCAAGGAGUCUAACAUCUAUGCGAGUGUUUGGGUGUCAAGCCCGAGCGCGCAAUGAAAGUGAACGGAGGUGGGAUCCCUUAAGGGUGCACCAUCGACCGAUCCUGAUGUCUUCGGAUGGAUUUGAGUAAGAGCAUGGCUGUUGGGACCCGAAAGAUGGUGAACUAUGCUUGAAUAGGGUGAAGCCAGAGGMAACUCUGGUGGAGGCUCGCAGCGGUUCUGACGUGCAAAUCGAUCGUCAAAUUUGGGCAUAGGGCGAAAGACUAAUCGAA
rnacentral:rRNA from 1 species